GCUCAGGCAGGAGUUCCCCUGCCUGCUGGAGACAAACUGAUGGGUUUUAAAUGUUUUAACUCCUCAGGGAACGUCCGGGCCCGAUCCCACCACGGUGUACGUGGACCUGAAGUCCUUGAGACAUGACAGAGUCCGUCUGGUGGAACGAGGAGCUCCACAGAGCCUGUUGCUUUCCGAGUCUGGGAAGAUUCUGCCUGGAGUCAAAGUGGUCAUUGUCAACCCGGAGACAAAAGGGCCUCUGGGAGAUUCCCACCUUGGGGAGAUCUGGGUGAACAGCCCCCACACGGCCAGCGGUUACUACACCAUCUACGACAACGAGACCCUCCAGGCCGACCACUUCAACACCCGCCUGAGCUUCGGGGACGCGGCGCAGACGCUCUGGGCCCGCACCGGUUACCUGGGCUUCGUGCGGCGCACCGAGCUCACGGCGGCCAGCGGAGAGCGCCACGACGCCCUGUACGUGGUGGGAGCCCUGGAUGAGACUCUGGAGCUGCGGGGGCUGCGCUACCACCCCAUCGACAUCGAGACCUCGGUGUCCCGGACCCACAGGAGCAUUGCUGAAUGUGCCGUGUUCACCUGGACCAACCUGCUGGUGGUGGUGGUGGAGCUGUGUGGCUGCGAGCAGGAGGCUCUGGAUUUAGUCCCUCUGGUGACCAACGUGGUCCUGGAAGAGCAUUACCUGAUCGUGGGCGUGGUGGUGGUGGUGGAUCCCGGGGUCAUUCCCAUCAAUUCCCGAGGCGAGAAGCAGCGGAUGCACCUCCGGGACAGUUUCCUGGCGGAUCAGCUGGACCCCAUUUACGUGGCCUACAACAUGUGAUGGGAGGAGCUGCAGGAGCCCAGAAGGACCAGGGUGGUGAUGGAAGUGAAGCUGGUGAAAUUACUAAUACUUGACCUACAGUUUGAGGUUGCUGCCACAUUCCUUCCCUCCCGGCCCCGGGGAGCGGAGGGAAUUUGGGAGGCAACUGGCAAACCUUUGUAACAGUUUACUGAACACAUGAGCUUUAGAGAAAUGCAAAGUGGAAAAGUGUGUGAGCUACAAAACCCCCAAGGCCUUUACAGUAGUGUUACUUUUUCAUCCGUUGUACAUAUUUGUAUUUUUAUCUAAUCCCGGGGUAGGAUUCUAUAAGGGGAGGGUUUAUUUAGUUAAGAUAAUAAACUAUUAAGAAAAAGGGUCAUCAGAGUUCUGCAGUUCCCUACUCCAUGACCUCCUUUGCAUCUGGAGCUGUUCAUCCCCUGGGAUCACCCAACUUAUUGACAAUUGUGCCAUGACCAAAUCAAUAACUUAACGGAAUCGAAGAGUUACUUAUUCAUAUAGAGAUUUCUGGAAUUUAAAAAAGAAUUUUGCCUAUAUUUUAAAUAUGUAAAUAUUAUUAUACAUAAUUCACUUAGCUAGAAAAUUAACUUGGCUAAUGAGGACAGCUGAAGGUUGAUGUUUUUAAGGGCAGGUGACUUUUGUGGUCCUCAGCAUCCUGGCAUUGGCUUAGACACAAUGUGAGAUGCUCCCACCUUCCACAGGUUUCUGAUUUCAUUUGUCUCUUCAUUCUGGCCAGAAGUGUGUCAGAGCAUGUAGAACCUUUGAUAUUAAGGCACAUCUUUCCCCAAGAGAUGAAUUUAAAAGGUGGAACUGGGGAGAAAUGGCAAUGCAAGCCCCGAAUCCUGAACUGGAAUGAUGCAGCCUCUGCCUCAUCCUCUGGCUCCAGGUGUGGGAAGGGAAAACAUUCCUUAGGUGGACACACAGGUAACUCCCCUGCUUGUGCCAUCCAUGACUCCUUCCAUCCCCAGGAAAUACUGUAAAUAGGCUUCAAUAAAACUGGGAGCAAACAGCCCAUCUUCCCUCAGAGCAUUCCCUGGAAAGAACAGGAGGAUCCUGGGUUUGAGCGGGAUGCAAUUUUUAUUUUACAGGAGACAGAGCAAUUGUGGCAAACACAGCGUUCAGUAACGUUGUGCAGACUGCUCUCCCAGCCUUCCACCUCCUGGGUCAGCUCCAAAGGCAGGGAAUGGGAGGAAAGAGAAGCCUUAGAGAGCAGCAGGUCCAAGCUUUUCCUGCUGGGAAGCCCUUCCACGGAGCCGGUGGUUGAGCUUUGACUCCAAAAUGACCUUUUCUGUUUCAACACCUCAUCUUUCAAUAGCAAUUACAUUCCUCUGGGUGCUAAAAUAUGAUUUUGGAAGCCUUGGGGGCUGCUGCCAGAUCCUGCAACAGGGUUUUUUUUUUGAGUCCCAUGUGGUAUAUACAGUGUAAAUAUAAAACUUUUCAGAUGUUCCAGAUACCUCACGCGAAGUUUUUAGGCCGUUUUUAAAAAGGUUCGUGGUGUGGACUCGGAAGAUCCUGUGGCAGUUCCUGGAGCAGGGCCCGGUGGAUCCGUGGGCAAAGCCCAGCCAUGUCCUGGAAAAAAAAAAAAAAAAAAGCCCCUGCUGCAUCCUGGUAGUUCCUCACCGAAAAACAGGAGCUUUAAAGAAAAAAAAAAAAAAACUCAGAGAAGAAGUUUGAAAGUAUAUUUUUGAAAAAAAAAAUAAAAAUAAAAAUAAUAAAUAUUUGGUGGGGAAAUAGCUUUAGGAACUGGAAGUUUUCUGGCAGGUCUGGGCCGAAGGUUCUUUGCAAACACUUCGGUUCACAGGGGGCACGUUUUGGAACCUUUUCUGUGUUUUCCACAGUGUCAGCAGAAUAGGCACCAAAUCUUUAGUGUGUUUAGUUUUAACAAAUUGACCACAACGUGGGGACAGCGACAGGGGAAACUGUGACUAACACAGUUGGUCCUGCAGCUUGUUUUGGGUGUAAAGUGCACAAAGGUUGUUCUCCCUUUACAGCCAGAAAAUUCCUGUUAUUCCAUGUUCUGUGUCACCAUUUUUGUGUUUCUUGCACAGCCCAGGCCUGGCCGAGCAGCUUCACUCCAAUGUGACCUUUCCAGGGAAAAUUCUGGUGGUCUUGGACCUUUUUCUUUACUCAAAAGCUUUAGUUAAAAUUGUUUCAGCAAAUGCUUUUUGUCCCCUGGAGUGGAUUUUAAGUCCAAGUCCGGGAUUGUCAUUUAUUUUUCCUCGUGAUCCUUCACAAAAGAAACAAUGUGUGUGUGAAUUCCAGCAGAGAUUCCCAAGUGUGGUAGGUGGCCUUCCCAAAAUGGCAUUUUUGAAUGAGACUGGAUCCAUUUGAUCUCGUUUCCCCUUUAUUUCUUCGUUUGGAUGGGCACCGAUGGCUUUUUAUGCCUCGGGGGCUCUUCUCUUGCGAUUCCCCGGGUGCUCCAAGUCUUCCUUCCAGCACGUUCCAUUUCUCUGGGCUGGAGAACCGCAGGAUGCAGGGAACAUUCCAGGGACAUGGAGCAGCUGCUCAGUUUGGCUUCCCUGGGUGCUUUGGCCCUGUUUUGGCACAGUGGGAAGCAACGUGCUGGAGAGGAGGAAGGAUGGAGCCGGGACUCCGGAAUCCCCAAAUUCUUCCUCCGGCUCCACGAGCUUUCCACGGGUCAUUCCACUCCUUCCAUUCCUUCCUCUGGGAUUUUUCCAUAUGGGAACAAACCAAGAUCCUUCACUCCAGACAUUGGCAGGGGCAGGGCUGGGUGCUUUUCCCCAAAAAACAGCCUCUCCCCCCUGGUUUGACCUCCCAGCUCCUGGAGUUGCACAGGGCACAUUUUUCCUUCCUCUUGUCCAUCAGAUUCCAAGCUUAGCAACUGCAGUGAAACUGAAAAACUGGGAAUUCUUCCCACUGGACUAAACUAGUUUGUAUGUCUCACUGUUUCUGGAUCUUCCCUGAGCAAACUGUGUGGGAACAGGUCGGUUUUAUCCUCUUCUGUUGGAAUUUGCACUUCAUUUCUGGUUUAAAUCAACGGAAUUCAGCUGUUUCCUACUAACUGCUCUAAAAUAAGGUUGUAAAAACCAGAUCAAUUUUAGCCCUAGGUGCAUUUGUUUUCCUUUAAUUUCUGUCAACCUCUUUCCCAUUGUCCAAUCCAGACUCCGGCGUUUCUGUAAUUAUGUAUAAAGGUUUUAUUUAUUUAAAAUUAGCUUAGUUACAUUUUUAAAUUUAACACCUGGCUGGACAGUGUCCCAUUAACGCAUUGAUUGUGUUUCCUUUGUCUUGUGUUAAUAAAUAUUGAUGCCUGGUU